CAAGGCUGAGGUACAGACAUAAACCUGUAGAACAGCUUAUGAGAAGCUCUGUUGUAUUUUUAUUUUAUUUUCCACAGUCUGUCUUACUACAAGAAAACAGACAAAAUGAGAAUUACUUCUAGAACAAGACCAGCCAUUCACCUUCAGUAUUUCCCUAAAGAACAAGCAUGAAAGAGAACAGAAGUUGAUAAGGCUGUAUUCUCCUCUUCCCCCCACUCCUCCUCAUUUCUUAUUUGGCAAUAACAUGCUCCAGCUGUGAUGGGAGCAGGACAUGAGGAGCACAGCUGGCUGUGAGAAAUGAGGCCUGAAGGACUCAGGGCUGGCUGAUGUGGCACUUACACAGUGUGCCCUGUCCAUGAGGGAAGAGCAGGAGGUGUCAGGAAGCCAAGGCUGGCUCCUGUUCUGGAGAGGAGAACGAGGAGGAAAGCACUGGCUGGCAAAUUUAGGUUUCAGGGAAGGGGAUGAUGCACCAGUAGAAGGGAGAAGAUAUUUCCUACAGCUCCCAGGAAUUCAGAGAAGGAGGAAUGUUUGGCAGACUGUUUUCUCAGAUAUAAAUAAAGCGCUAACCAAGACAACAUGCCUAAAUUUGGGUAUGUUUAAAAGAGGGACACCUUGCACUAGCCCAGGGUGCUCCACACCCCAUCCAGGCAGGCCUUGGAUAAGGAGGAAGGAAGGAUGCUGGAAAUGCCAUGUAGGAGAAUCACAGAGCAGCAGGUGUUGCACCUCCAACUCUUUGGGAAGAGCUGGAACCUCAGGAUAGAGUUCUGUAAAGGUAAAUUCACAGCUGGGAGACCCUAAACUGGAGUUUGGCUUGUCCUGCAAUGUGUUAGAAGUCUGAUAUUCUGGGAGAUGUGUUUCUCUGAGGACCUUUAGGAGAAUCUGGAUCUGGUGUGGUGAGGAAAACUUGAUGCUCCGGUGACACAUGCAUCCUGCUGAACUGUAUCCAUUUGAGAAAAAAGACAGAAAGAACUAUGAGGCUUUGUCCUGCUAAAAGGAGAAUUCCUUAAGCAAUGGAAUGUUUACUUUUCAGAAGGGAUGGGUUUCUGGAUGUGCUGCUGGGAUUGCAGUUCUUCUGGUGAAAACGGAAGGAGGGGCUGCUCUGAGUCAGCCCAGGGAGAAGAGGCUUGGGGGAAAAUGCAUCAGAGCACUGCAGGUGAAGAGAGGGACUUGUCUUUCUUUUGUCUUGUAUUGCUUUUUCCUGGACUCCUCUAAUUCCUGCUCAGCAGGUUUAGGGAAAGUAGUUUGACUUACUCUGGGUGGUGCAGAAAUAACAAAAUUCUCAGGAGGUCCAAUAACAACUUUUACUUGCCAACAUUGGAACAUCCUGACAAAAUAAGGCACGUGGCAAACUUUAACUCAUCCAGACACAGCAGAGGAUUUAUCAAAGCAUUGACUGGAAG